GGAUCCAGGAGUCCCAGUCUCUCUAAUUCUGCUCUACGAAGGACGACAAAUACUGUAGCAAGAAUGGGUUAUCGGGAGAGGUCCGAGAAUGUCCAUCGCUAUCCUUUCAAAUGGAGCUCCCACGUUGUAAAUUUGAAGAGAGCUUUGUCCCUUCGCUCGAGGUCCUUUGUUUGCCGUGCAGAUUCGACAUCUUCGACACCAAUCUUCAACGUCCAUCCGGCAACGGGGCCAAAAGUAGAAGUUGCGAAUUCUGCCCAGAGUUUUAUUUGAAGCGAAGUGUCCGCCUGCAGGAGAAUCAUGAUAAAGAGCAAGAAUCUCCGGAACUCGUGUCCUGGGAACCGAAAGUUGCCACCUGAUUUCUUUCAAGUCUGCAGAUUCUCAUUUUCGGGUCUUCGAGAGAGAGCAUCGGCGUUUCCAUGAUGAAUUCCUGCUCGAUGACGA